UGCGUAGGCUGGUUGCCAAGUCUGUGGUGAAAUCCUCCGGCUUAACCGGAGAACUGCCGUGGAUACUGGCGACCUCGAGGGGGUAGGGGCUUGCGGAACUGUGCGUGGAGCGGUGAAAUGCGUUGAUAUGCACAGGAACUCCGGUGGCGAAGGCGGCGAGCUGGACCCUUUCUGACGCUGAGGCACGAAAGCCAGGGGAGCGAACG
rnacentral:rRNA from 1 species